rnacentral:rRNA from 1 species
GAUGAACGCUGGCGGCGUGCCUAAUACAUGCAAGUCGAGCGAACAGACGAGGAGCUUGCUCCUCUGACGUUAGCGGCGGACGGGUGAGUAACACGUGGAUAACCUACCUAUAAGACUGGGAUAACUUCGGGAAACCGGAGCUAAUACCGGAUAACAUGUUGAACCGCAUGGUUCAACAGUGAAAGACGGUCUUGCUGUCACUUAUAGAUGGAUCCGCGCCGCAUUAGCUAGUUGGUAAGGUAACGGCUUACCAAGGCAACGAUGCGUAGCCGACCUGAGAGGGUGAUCGGCCACACUGGAACAGAGACACGGUCCAGACUCCUACGGGAGGCAGCAGUAGGGAAUCUUCCGCAAUGGGCGAAAGCCUGACGGAGCAACGCCGCGUGAGUGAAGAAGGUCUUCGGAUCGUAAAACUCUGUUAUUAGGGAAGAACAAAUGUGUAAGUAACUAUGCACGUCUUGACGGUACCUAAUCAGAAAGCCACGGCUAACUACGUG